rnacentral:misc_RNA from 1 species
AAACUCUUAAAUUUUCUAAUUUUAUAUGGAAUAUAAUUCUUAAAUUGUAUUAGAAAUAUCAUUUUCCUAUCCUGCAUUAUUCUUCCCUGGUUGGAAAAAACUCGUCUUCGAGUCUUGAAGUGCGAGAGAAUCAGAAUCAGAAUUAGAAUUAGAAACUGCAUUAGGAGAAUAAUCAACUUUUCAUUCUUGAAUGGUAGCAACAAGUUUGAAAUCAAACACUUCAUACUUUCCUUAGCAUCUCUAAAAGGAUCUGGACAA